rnacentral:rRNA from 1 species
CCUACGGGAGGCAGCAGUGAGGAAUAUUGGUCAAUGGACGAGAGUCUGACCCAGCCAAGUCGCGUGAAGGAUGAAUGCCCUCUGGGUUGAAAAUUUCUUUUAUAUGGGAAUAAAACAGGGUAUGCAUACCCUCUUGUAUGUACCAUAUGAAUAAGGAUAGGCUAACUCCGUGCCAGCAGCCGCGGUAAUACGGAGGAUCCGAGCGUUAUCCGGAUUUAUUGGGUUUAAAGGGAGCGUAGGUGGAUUGUUAAGUCAGUUGUGAAAGUUUGCGGCUCAACCGGAAAAUUGCAGUUGAAACUGGCAGUCUUGAGUACAGUAGAGGUGGGCGGAAUUCGUGGUGUAGCGAUGAAAUGCGUAGAGAUCACGAAGAACUCCGAUGGCGAAGGCAGCUCACUGGACAGCAACUGACACUGAUGCGCGAAAGUGUGGGUAGCAAACAGGAUUAGAUACCCGGGUAGUC